rnacentral:rRNA from 1 species
AGCUCCAAUAGCGUAUAUUAAAGUUGCUGCAGUUAAAAAGCUCGUAGUUGGAUUUGUGGCGCGGUCGUCCGGCGGGGCUUCCGGUUUCAUAGUAUCCCGGGGCCGUUUGUCUGGGUUCUUGGCCGCCCCAUUCUUCGGUUGCGUGUCGCUGGCAUUAGGUUGUCGGCUUCUUCGCGCCGAUCGUUUACUGUGAAAAAAUUAGAGUGCUCAAAGCAGGCUUCACAAGCUUGAAUAUUCGUGCAUGGAAUAAUGGAAUAGGACGUCGUUUCUAUUUUGUUGGUUUUCGGAAAUCGACGUAAUGAUAAAUAGGGACAGUCGGGGGCAUUAGUAUUCAGACGACAGAGGUGAAAUUCUUGGACCGUCUGAAGACUAACUACUGCGAAAGCAUUUGCCAAGAAUG